rnacentral:lncRNA from 1 species
GGGGAAGUGGAUGGAUCCCAUUCUCCCACACACAAUCAUCUUCCUCGGACCUACCUUAAUUUCUCACAAAUCUUAAUAAACAUUUUAAUUCCUAUCUUAUGUUCUGCUCUAGGCUAGCUGCUAGAUUAAACUAUUCCAAUUCCUUGAGGGUCACACCAAUUUCUUUGACUUUCACCUUUUCGUUCUCCCCACUCACCUCAUUGCUUAUUUGUUACUUCUUCUUUUUUUUUUUUUUUUUAUUAUUGUUACAUCAAUUUAGGCCUUUAAGAAGUUUUUAAUUGAAGAAGGACCACGAC